rnacentral:rRNA from 1 species
CAGUAGCCGCGGGAAUACGGAGGGAGCUAGCGUUAUUCGGAAUUACUGGGCGUAAAGCGCACGUAGGCGGCUUUGUAAGUUAGAGGUGAAAGCCUGGAGCUCAACUCCAGAAUUGCCUUUAAGACUGCAUCGCUUGAAUCCAGGAGAGGUGAGUGGAAUUCCGAGUGUAGAGGUGAAAUUCGUAGAUAUUCGGAAGAACGCCAGUGGCUAAGGCGGCUUACUGGCUCAUUCUAGACGCUGAGGUGCGAAAGCGUGGGGAGCAAACAGGAUUAGAUACCCCUGUAGUCCCUGUCUCUUAUAC